GGAGCCGGAAGUGAGGCACCCUAGGGCUCGAGACAGCGGCGGCGUUUAAAGCUGAGCCACCCAGUGCCACUGGAGACGGUCAGCUUCUCCACUCAGGCUCCUCCAGCCCGAGCCAGAAGACCCCCUCCCCCAGAAUUCUGGGGGCCGAUGGAAGGGAGCCGAGUCGGAUCGCGAGGUACCCAGAGCCGACAGACCCGAGCGACAGGGCGUUGCCAGAAGCCCCGCCCCUAGGAGUGAUCGGAAAGCCUCACCCAUCCGGGUGAGGAACCGGGAGGGACCGCCUCGGGGCGGAGCCCGCCGACCAUGGCUACGCCCCCGGUGGCCGGUCCCGCAGCUCUACGCUUCGCCGCCGCGGCUAGCUGGCAGGUUGUGCGCGGACGCUGCGUGGAACAUUUUCCGCGAGUACUGGAGUUUCUGCGAUCUCUGCGCGCUGUUGCCCCUGGCUUGGUUCGCUACCGGCACCACGAACGCCUUUGUAUGGGCCUAAAGGCCAAGAAUCUGGACCUAUAGUGCGGGAUCCCAAGGCUACAAAGCAGGAUCUGAGGAAGAUUUUGGAGGCACAGGAAACUUUUUA
rnacentral:sRNA from 1 species